UAUUGCACUUGUCCCGGCCUGUG
rnacentral:ncRNA from 3 species